UCUCCUUGUUACGAAUUAUGAAGAAAAUAUGAAUAAUAACCAACAUUGGAGUGUCGAAUGGCAGCACGAGCACAACGCUGUUGCCGACCACUUAAUGUGCACAUACCUACUAUAACUAUAUUAUAAAUAUUUUAUUAUAAGGUUCGAUUUGCUUAAAAGUUGUAUCUAACUUCAAUAUCUGUGUACACAUAUACAUAUCAGUAGUCACAUGAUAUUAUGUUGUACAGUAUAGACUAUAGACACCUACUCAGUAUUUGGCAAUUUAAAACUAGUUUUAUCUAUACGACUACCUAUAUAUUGUACGUGUAUCUAUGCAUUACAAAAUACAGGUAAUGAUGAUGGUAUCGUUAUCGUAAGCAACGUUCGAAAUUCUAUCUUCUCCAUGCGUAACCAUACGACAUUCUGAUUUUCGAGGUCUAUACGCAUUAUUCGUCGUAUUCAGCGUCUCGUGUUAUGGUAAUUUUGCACAAAAGGUCUCUGAUGAACAAGCGAAAAUUCACGUCAGCAACAUUAUUAUAACUGCGGUGCAGCUUUUGGUAAUAAAACAUCAUAUACCACUACGACGCGUAUGUCGUGCCGUCGCCACAUUCUUGUGUACAGACGUAUACAGUGAUGGAUAAUCUGUAGAAAAUAUAACACAAACGUGAUACGGUGAUACAUGAGAUGAUAUAAUGUUAAGGUGAGUGAUUCAAGAAUAUUGCCAAAAAUCGGGUCUCUGUGCAUAAUAUAUGGGUAGUAUAAUACUAGUAUGUUUCUUUUACUUUGAUUGGUUUAAUCAACCCUUAUAAAGAGUAAAAAUCAUAUUAUAUUAAUGGUGGACGGUGAUUGGAGUCUUCGUAUCAUAUAAUAUCAACAGAAGUCAGAACUACGAUUAAAUUAUCAAAUUCAGUUUGACAUUUGUAUUCAUUAGUAAUACAAUUAUUUAAUAUUA